ACAAGCGGUGGAGGAUGUGGUUUAAUUCGAUGCAACGCGAAGAACCUUACCUGGGCUUGACAUCCCUGGAAUCCCCUGGAAACAGGGGAGUGCCCUUCGGGGAGCCAGGAGACAGGUGCUGCAUGGCUGUCGUCAGCUCGUGUCGUGAGAUGUUGGGUUAAGUCCCGCAACGAGCGCAACCCUUGUCUUUAAUUGCCAUCAUUCAGUUGGGCACUUUAAGAGACUGCCGGUGUUAAACUGGAGGAAGGUGGGAUGACGUCAAGUCAUCAUGGCCCUUAUGUUCUGGGCUACACACGUGCUACAAUGGCCGGUACAGACGGACGCAAAGCCGCGAGGUGGAGCAAAUCCUAAAAAGCCGGUCUCAGUUCGGAUUGCAGGCUGCAAUUCGCCUGCAUGAAGUCGGAAUCGCUAGUAAUCGCAGGUCAGCAUACUGCGGUGAAUACGUUCCCGGGCCUU
rnacentral:rRNA from 1 species